UAGGGAAUCUUCCACAAUGGACGCAAGUCUGAUGGAGCAACGCCGCGUGAGUGAAGAAGGGUUUCGGCUCGUAAAGCUCUGUUGUUAAAGAAGAACAUAUCUGAGAGUAACUGUUCAGGUAUUGACGGUAUCUUACCAGAAAGGAACGGCUAAAUACGUGCCAG
rnacentral:rRNA from 1 species